rnacentral:ncRNA from 1 species
GAGAGCCGUGUGCGGGAGAUCCGCACGCACGGUUCGGAGGGAGGGGAGGGCGAGCGCCCUUCUCUACCCCUAU